rnacentral:rRNA from 1 species
UACGGGGGGGGGCAAGCGUUGUUCGGAAUUACUGGGCGUAAAGGGCGCGUAGGCGGCCAUCUAAGUCGGACGUGAAAUCCCUCGGCUUAACCGAGGAACUGCGUCCGAUACUGGAAGGCUUGAAUCCGGGAGAGGGAUGUGGAAUUCCAGGUGUAGCGGUGAAAUGCGUAGAUAUCUGGAGGAACACCGGUGGCGAAGGCGGCAUCCUGGACCGGCAUUGACGCUGAGGCGCGAAAGCUAGGGGAGCAAACGGG